AAACGGACGCUAAUACCGCAUACGUCCUACGGGAGAAAGCAGGGGACCUUCGGGCCUUGCGCUAUCAGAUGAGCCUAGGUCGGAUUAGCUAGUUGGUGAGGUAAUGGCUCACCAAGGCGACGAUCCGUAACUGGUCUGAGAGGAUGAUCAGUCACACUGGAACUGAGACACGGUCCAGACUCCUACGGGAGGCAGCAGUGGGGAAUAUUGGACAAUGGGCGAAAGCCUGAUCCAGCCAUGCCGCGUGUGUGAAGAAGGUCUUCGGAUUGUAAAGCACUUUAAGUUGGGAGGAAAGGCAUUAACCUAAUACGUUGGUGUCUUGACGUUACCGACAGAAUAAGCACCGGCUAACUCUGUGCCAGCAGCCGCGGUAAUACAGAGGGUGCAAGCGUUAAUCGGAAUUACUGGGCGUAAAGCGCGCGUAGGUGGUUCGUUAAGUUGGAUGUGAAAUCCCCGGGCUCAACCUGGGAACUGCAUUCAAAACUGUCGAGCUAGAGUAUGGUAGAGGGUGGUGGAAUUUCCUGUGUAGCGGUGAAAUGCGUAGAUAUAGGAAG
rnacentral:rRNA from 2 species